CUGGUGGCAUAGGUCAGGAAAGGCCCUCGAGAUAACCCAGAGAGUAGUAAACACAGGAAGCAGCUACUAACCUGAGGGCUGGGGGAACACAGGGGAAGAGAUGGUGUUACCAGAACCUAGAGGCUUUGAUGGGGGACCCCCCACGGCCGGCGC